rnacentral:miRNA from 1 species
GGUAUGAGUAUAAAGCAGUGAGACUGAUUUGAGAUGUGCAGCUGCUGGAAUCAGUUUCGUUACUUUCUACUCUCACCU